rnacentral:rRNA from 1 species
GACGAACGCUGGCGGCGUGCUUAACACAUGCAAGUCGAACGGAAAGGCCCUGCUUUUGUGGGGUGCUCGAGUGGCGAACGGGUGAGUAACGCGUGAGUAACCUGCCCUUGACUUUGGGAUAACUUCAGGAAACUGGUGCUAAUACCGGAUAGGAGCUCCUGCUGCAUGGUGGGGGUUGGAAAGUUUCGGCGGUUGGGGAUGGACUCGCGGCUUAUCAGCUUGUUGGUGGGGUAGUGGCUUACCAAGGCUUUGACGGGUAGCCGGCCUGAGAGGGUGACCGGCCACAUUGGGACUGAGAUACGGCCCAGACUCCUACGGGAGGCAGCAGUGGGGAAUAUUGCACAAUGGGCGGAAGCCUGAUGCAGCAACGCCGCGUGCGGGAUGACGGCCUUCGGGUUGUAAACCGCUUUCGCCUGUGACGAAGCGUGAGUGACGGUAAUGGGUAAAGAAGCACCGGCUAACUACGUG